UAGGGAAUCUUCCACAAUGGGCGCAAGCCUGAUGGAGCAACGCCGCGUGAGUGAAGAAGGUCUUCGGAUCGUAAAACUCUGUUGUUAAAGAAGAACACGUAUGAGAGUAACUGUUCAUACGUUGACGGUAUUUAACCAGAAAGUCACGGCUAACUACGUGGCAG
rnacentral:rRNA from 1 species